AGCAGUGGGGAAUAUUGCACAAUGGGCGCAAGCCUGAUGCAGCCAUGCCGCGUGUAUGAAGAAGGCCUUCGGGUUGUAAAGUACUUUCAGCAGUGAGGAAGGUGGGUAUGUUAAUAGCAUAUUCAUUUGACGUUAGCUGCAGAAGAAGCACCGGCUAACUCCGUGCCAGCAGCCGCGGUAAUACGGAGGGUGCGAGCGUUAAUCGGAAUUACUGGGCGUAAAGCGCAUGCAGGUGGUUUGUUAAGUCAGAUGUGAAAGCCCGGGGCUCAACCUCGGAAUUGCAUUUGAAACUGGCAAACUAGAGUACUGUAGAGGGGGUAGAAUUUCAGGUGUAGCGGUGAAAUGCGUAGAGAUCUGAAGGAAUACCGGUGGCGAAGGCGGCCCCCUGGACAGAUACUGACACUCAGAUGCGAAAGCGUGGGGAGCAAACAGGAUUAGAUACCCUGGUAG
rnacentral:rRNA from 1 species